rnacentral:rRNA from 1 species
UACGGGGGGAGCAAGCGUUGUUCGGAUUUACUGGGCGUAAAGGGCGCGUAGGCGGCCACUGCAAGUCAGUUGUGAAAUCUCCGGGCUUAACCCGGAAAGGUCAACUGAUACUGCAGGGCUAGAGUGCAGAAGGGGCAACUGGAAUUCUCGGUGUAGCGGUGAAAUGCGUAGAUAUCGAGAGGAACACCUGCGGCGAAGGCGGGUCGCUGGGCUGACACUGACGCUGAGGCGCGAAAGCCAGGGGAGCGAACGGG